UCGAGAGGCUUCGGCAAUGGGGGAAACCCUGACCGAGCGACGCCGCGUGGGGGAUGAAGGCCCUUGGGUUGUAAACCCCUUUUGUUCGGGAAGAAAUGCGAUCAGGUGAAUAAUCUGGUCGUUUGACGGUACCGGACGAAUAAGCUCCGGCUAACUCCGUGCCAGCAGCCGCGGUAACACGGGGGGAGCAAGCGUUGUUCGGAAUCACUGGGCGUAAAGGGCGUGUAGGCGGUCGAGUAAGUGGAAUGUGAAAUACUCCGGCUCACCCGGAGCACUGCAUUCCAAACUGCUCGGCUUGAGUAUGGGAGAGGACAAGGGAAUUCCUGGUGUAGCGGUGAAAUGCGUAGAUAUCAGGAGGAACACCGGUGGCGAAAGCGCUUGUCUGGCCCAAUACUGACGCUGAUGCGCGAAAGCUAGGGGAGCAAAC
rnacentral:rRNA from 1 species